ACCCGCUGAACUUAAGCAUAUCAAUAAGCGGAGGAAAAGAAACUAACGAGGAUUCCCCUAGUAACUGCGAGUGAAGCGGGAAAAGCUCAAAUUUAAAAUCUGUUGGCCCUUUGGUCAUCCGAGUUGUAAUUUAGAGAAGCGUCUUCCGCGCUGGACCGUGCAAAAGUCUCCUGGAAUGGAGCGUCGUAGAGGGUGAGAAUCCCGUCUUUGGCAUGGACCCACCAGGGCUUCUGUGAUGCGCUCUCGAAGAGUCGAGUUGUUUGGGAAUGCAGCUCAAAAUGGGUGGUGAACUCCAUCUAAAGCUAAAUAUUGGCGAGAGACCGAUAGCGAACAAGUACCGUGAGGGAAAGAUGAAAAGCACUUUGGAAAGAGAGUGAAACAGUACGUGAAAUUGUUGAAAGGGAAACGCUUCAAGUCAGUCGCGUCGACCGAGACUCAGCCUUGCCUCGGCUUGGUGUACUUCUCGGCUGACGGGUCAGCAUCGAUUUUGCCCCUCGGAUAAUGGCAAGGGGAAAGGUGGCACCUUUUAUAGGUGUGUUAUAGUCUCCUGUCGCAUGCGAGGGUCGGGAUCGAGGAACUCAGCACGCGCCUUUUGGCGUCGGGGCCUUGGCCCACGUUACGUGCUUAGGAUGCUGGCGUAAUGGCUUUAAACGACCCGUCUUGAAACACGGACCAAGGAGUCUAACAUGCCCGCGAGUGUUCGGGUGGAAAACCCGUGCGCGUAAUGAAAGUAAAAGUUGGGACCUCCGUCGUGGAGGGCACCGACGCCCGGACCAGACCUUCUGUGACGGAUCUGCGGUAGAGCGUGCAUGUUGGGACCCGAAAGAUGGUGAACUAUGCCUGAAUAGGGUGAAGCCAGAGGAAACUCUGGUGGAGGCUCGUAGCGAUUCUGACGUGCAAAUCGAUCGUCAAAUUUGGGUAUAGGGGCGAAAGACUAAUCGAACCAU
rnacentral:rRNA from 1 species